rnacentral:rRNA from 1 species
AUUGAACGCUGGCGGCAGGCCUAACACAUGCAAGUCGAACGGUAGCACAGAGGAGCUUGCUCCUUGGGUGACGAGUGGCGGACGGGUGAGUAAUGUCUGGGAAACUGCCCGAUGGAGGGGGAUAACUACUGGAAACGGUAGCUAAUACCGCAUAACGUCGCAAGACCAAAGAGGGGGACCUUCGGGCCUCUUGCCAUCGGAUGUGCCCAGAUGGGAUUAGCUAGUAGGCGGGGUAAUGGCCCACCUAGGCGACGAUCCCUAGCUGGUCUGAGGGGAUGACCAGCCACACUGGCACUGAGACACCGUCCGGACUCCUACGGGAGGCAGCAGUGGGGAAUAUUGCACAAUGGGCGCAAGCCUGAUGCAGCCAUGCCGCGUGUAUGAAGAAGGCCUUCGGGUUGUAAAGUACUUUCAGCGGGGAGGAAGGCGGUGAGGUUAAUAACCUCGCCGAUUGACGUUACCCGCAGAAGAAGCACCGGCUAACUCCGUGCCAGCAGCCGCCGCCGUAA